ACUCUUGUGUAAAAAGUGUGAGUUCUUAUCCUUAGAAGAUAAGAUCUUGUGUCUGAGUCCAUGAUUUCCCCUUAUUUACUGUGCCUAUACAAAAACUUAUGGUGUCCUUUUGUAUUGCUGGUGCUAUUUCGGGUAAGGAUGACAUGCUACACACACAUAUCUGUGGUGUGGUCUGAGCUUUUAUUCCAGGCAAGACAUUUUCUUGGUUUUUGACCAAGCAGCACCAAAACUGGUGAGGGUAGAGAAAAUAUGUAUAUAUAAAAAAUAGAAUAUAUAGAUAAAA